rnacentral:rRNA from 1 species
UGAUGUUAGGUGCUUGCACUUGAAAGAUUUAACAUUGAGACGAGUGGCGAACUGGUGAGUAACACGUGGGUAACCUGCCCUUGAAGUAGGGGAUAACACUUGGAAACAGGUGUUAAUACCGUAUAACAACCAAAACCACCUGGUUUUGGUUUAAAAGACGGCUUCGGCUGUCACUUUAGGAUGGACCCGCGGCGCAUUAGCUUGUUGGUAAGGUAACGGCUUACCAAGGCGAUGAUACGUAGCCGACCUGAGAGGGUAAUCGGCCACAUUGGGACUGAGACACGGCCCAAACUCCUACGGGAGGCAGCAGUAGGGAAUCUUCCACAAUGGACGAAAGUCUGAUGGAGCAACGCCGCGUGAGUGAUGAAGGGUUUCGGCUCGUAAAACUCUGUUGUUGGAGAAGAACAGGUGUCAGAGUAACUGUUGACAUCUUGACGGUAUCCAACCAGAAAGCCACGGCUAACUACGUGCCAGCAGCCGCGGUAAUACGUAGGUGGCAAGCGUUGUCCGGAUUUAUUGGGCGUAAAGCGAGCGCAGGCGGUUUUUUAGGUCUGAUGUGAAAGCCUUCGGCUUAACCGGAGAAGUGCAUCGGAAACCGGGAGACUUGAGUGCAGAAGAGGACAGUGGAACUCCAUGUGUAGCGGUGAAAUGCGUAGAUAUAUGGAAGAACACCAGUGGCGAAGGCGGCUGUCUGGUCUGUAACUGACGCUGAGGCUCGAAAGCAUGGGUAGCGAACAGGAUUAGAUACCCUGGUAGUCCAUGCCGUAAACGAUGAGUGC